ensembl:miRNA mdo-mir-7306 mdo-mir-7306
AUGGGGGCAGGAUUGGUCAGGAGGUGGUGCUGACUAGGUGUGACCCCAACUCCGGCCUGUCUUGUCUCCUAGU